rnacentral:rRNA from 1 species
AUUGAACGCUGGCGGCAUGCUUUACACAUGCAAGUCGAACGGUAACAGGCCGCAAGGUGCUGACGAGUGGCGAACGGGUGAGUAAUGCAUCGGAACGUGCCCAGUCGUGGGGGAUAACUACUCGAAAGAGUAGCUAAUACCGCAUACGAUCUAUGGAUGAAAGCGGGGGACCGUAAGGCCUCGCGCGAUUGGAGCGGCCGAUGUCAGAUUAGGUAGUUGGUGGGGUAAAGGCUCACCAAGCCAACGAUCUGUAGCUGGUCUGAGAGGACGACCGGCCACACUGGGACUGAGACACGGCCCAGACUCCUACGGGAGGCAGCAGUGGGGAAUUUUGGACAAUGGGCGCAAGCCUGAUCCAGCAAUGCCGCGUGCAGGAAGAAGGCCUUCGGGUUGUAAACUGCUUUUGUACGGAACGAAACGGCUCUGGUUAAUACCCGGGGCUAAUGACGGUACCGUAAGAAUAAGCACCGGCUAACUACGUG